UGGAGAGUUUGAUCCUGGCUCAGGACGAACGCUGGCGGCGUGCUUAACACAUGCAAGUCGAACGAUGAAGCCGCUUCGGUGGUGGAUUAGUGGCGAACGGGUGAGUAACACGUGGGCAAUCUGCCCUGCACUCUGGGACAAGCCCUGGAAACGGGGUCUAAUACCGGAUAUGACACGGGAUCGCAUGGUCUCCGUGUGGAAAGCUCCGGCGGUGCAGGAUGAGCCCGCGGCCUAUCAGCUUGUUGGUGGGGUGAUGGCCUACCAAGGCGACGACGGGUAGCCGGCCUGAGAGGGCGACCGGCCACACUGGGACUGAGACACGGCCCAGACUCCUACGGGAGGCAGCAGUGGGGAAUAUUGCACAAUGGGCGCAAGCCUGAUGCAGCGACGCCGCGUGAGGGAUGACGGCCUUCGGGUUGUAAACCUCUUUCAGCAGGGAAGAAGCGCGAGUGACGGUACCUGCAGAAGAAGCACCGGCAACUACGUGCCAGCAGCCGCGGUA
rnacentral:rRNA from 1 species